UUUUGUCAUCUAUUUUCUUUUCUCUUCACUGCCCAUAUUUCUAAACGAUUUAAGCUCUUAAUUAACCGCUAUAAGUGGGAGAUUCCACUUAAAGCACUUGGCUUCAUACGACCUCAUAAGGCUCAGACCAUAUCAAUCAAUUUAUUAUAUAAGUAUCAUAUUACCAUCCAAAGAAAGGAAUGAAAUAUUCACCUGUUUAAGUUCUUUUUUGGUUGCUUGCUAAAAAAAAAAGAAACUAGAUAUUAUGCAAGUAGAAACUUCGCAAUCCAAUUUUGUUCCAUCCAUUUUACCCAUUUCCCAAAUAUUAAUAUAUAAACUAAUUUCAUGUGUAAAAAAAUGAUACGCUUAGUGCAUAGACCACAUAUUCCAAGAAAUUAAAAAUUUCUAUAAAUAUGACUUACAAAACAUGCCUGGAUGUCAGAAAAAUGGAAGCAGUGCUAAUGAACCUUGGCUGAACCGAGAACUGUGAUAUCACCAAAAGAAACCAGCUACAGGGUAACUCCGAAGAUUUUGCACAGUAAUGGCUAGUGAAGUGGGAUUCAGGAAUUGAUGGAAGGAUAUUAAUCUCUGAGGAAUCUUCCUUCACUACCAAACAACCCUUAGUUCCCCACAGCAGCAGCGAUGCAUGAAAGUAUCAAAGGCGUUCCAAAUCCACACACAUAUGACAGAGAGUACAAGACUGAUCUAAACUAUGAUAUUGAAAUUAUUUGUAGUAAGCACAGAUUCUGCACCAUAUACCUUAAAUCAGUGUGUAAAUGAUCAAGAUGAGAGUGCGUCAUUAAGCUCCAUUUUGAAUAUUGAAUAUUCUCUCUCAAACAAAAGAAAUUCCUGCAAUUGUUGCUGACUAAAUAAAUGGAGGAAUCCAGUUUCCGGGCAAGCAACAAGUUCGAUCAACUCAUCAUGGUUUUCUGGUGGAUUGCCCGACUCCAUUAGUGAAACCGAAACCUGCAUACAUCGAAGAAUGACUUCAGGUAUACAACACCUACGACAAAGACCCUGUACAAUAUAUGUUGCUGGCCCUUCCAAAGAACCCUCUGCACUUGAAUACCAAGCAUCUAAUCUGGAUAUUUCCAUUGUAACUCCAACUUGAAACCGAGCAAGCUCCCCUUUGAAUCCAGCCGCCAUGACAGUACCAAGAAUACCACCAUCAUUAGAUUGGUGUAACCCAAGUCCAUCACCCUCCACAGCCAAACAGCGAAGAACAACCUCAAUGCAGUAAUUGUCCCUUGUCGAAAUGGCAACGUUCACCAUUAAUUGGCGGUGCAACACAAUUUCCUCGCUUACUGAAGAGUAGAGGGCACUCAUUAAUGCAGUACAAAUGGUGGCAUCUGGACACAUACAUUCACCAGAAGGCAGACAGAGCAUAGCAGUUGCAUGCAGUUCAAGAAAUACAGGUGCCGUUGAUUCAUAUGCAUGAUCUUCAACAGAAGCCAACCAAGGGUUUUCUUUCUUUAACACCAACGACAAAGACAAAUUCAAUGUUUCCUUGGCUGCUGUAAUGGCUCUUUGUUUUUCCUCCACUGAGAGUUCAACGGGAGGAACCUCUCCAUUCUCUAAUUCAAUUUUGAGCCAGUUGCGAUAUGUUGCAUCACAGGAGUAGUACUCGCUCCAGUCUUGAAACUCUUUCAGAUUCUCGGAAACAUAAUCCUCAAGGGUAUCAGGUAUUUCUGAAAGCUGCUUCAACGGCUCAGCAAGUAAACUAAGCAAUGCAUGUGCACCUAUUGGCAUUGCUGGCACUCUCCACAUAGAAAUCAGAGCAAAUUCUCUGAACAGGAUGUUGCUGUGCACUAAUGCCUGCAGAAGAAGUUUGACACUGACAUCCUUAACAUUGGUAAUUGUAGAGGGCGGUGUAAAACAGAGCCAUUGGAUCACCAAAGCUUUUUGUAGACUCUGCAAACGGUGCUGCUCUGCAACCUCCGAUGACUUAUCAUAUUUUCCAACUUUGAUUUCUCGAGAUCUUGACAGAACCCUCUCAAUGAUUUCUUCAAAACUGCCUUUUGAAUCAUCCUCCAAAGAAAAUGGCAAGUACUCCAUAGCAGAAAGGAAAAUUUUAUACUUGACAUGCACACUACUAUUUAGCCUUAGUUCCAUCAUGUGCACGAAAAUAUCAAUGCAACGAUGACGUGCAAGCUGAGAAGCAUAAAUCCCAACCAACUCCUCAUGUUGCUUUGAGAAAAGAAACAUCACAUACAUAUGUAGAAUAAGGUCACCAACAUUCAUAAGCUUCUCUCUAAAAGAAUCCUUCAUUUCCUCAGCAAGUAAAUACCUAAGAACAAGCACUAGGUGAGCACCAAAUCGAAUCAUUUGAGGAUCACCAUGAGGCCUAAAGACAUUUUGAUCAUCUUCUGAAGGUGCUAUCCAUGACCAGAUCAUGUCCAACAGGUGUGGUAUGUUACCCAACAUAAGAUCCAUCUCAAUUUGCCGUUGAUGCUCUUUGCACCCUCGAGUAACAGCUUCAUUAACCAUUUCACCUGAGUGGAGUUUCUGUAGAAGAGCAGACAGGUUUCGUGGUUGCUGGUUCAGAACUUGGAGUGGCCAAUUUUCUGGUCCCAUGGAAGACUGAGACAUACCAUCUAUUAGUUCAGGACUUCCAUCAAUACCAUCUCCAUAGCUUUUAAGCUGCUCUAUUCUCCCAGGUUGUGAACGAGCUAGCUCCAAAUCUACCUGAACAUCAAGCCAAGACUUUGCCAUUGCCCAGCAUGCUGACUCCCAGUCCGUGCAAAUUGGAAGCAUGCGUUUAAGAUCACUGCAUUGUACUGCAUAUACAGCAACUUCAUAUUUUCCACCAUUUUGCUCUGCAAUUUUCUCUGAUGCACAAUAGGAAGCCCAUUUCCAAAGGCGCCAUUGAUGACCAAUGCCACUUUCCAAUUCAAUGGCUUGCAGGGUUCUGUUCUUUCCAUUCUUCACCAUGGCUUCAACAGAAGGAACUAGGUCCAGCCCCCCAAAAGGACAUAAAGUUGCAGCUCUCCAAGGCUGUCCAGCAGACCGGCAAAGGUCACAUGCCUCGUCCAGUCUUCCUGCCCUUAAUAGAGUCCAGACAUCUUCCAGAAGAGACUCAUCUUGUUUUUUAUCAUCUGGUAGCUGAUGAGCAUGUUCACGAGUUGGAGCAUCAAAAUCCAAGUGCUGAACAGUAUUAGUACCAAAGGAACCUUUCUUCAAAAGCCGUUGGGUAUGGUGCCAAAUUCCAGAAUUGGGAAGAUAGGUACCAACAUGAGACCCCCGCACCUUGCUUUCCAAAUCAAGGGCUUUAGAGGCUAAUCCUUCCAGCCACUGAACAAUUCGGAGGCAUGACUGUGCUGUAUGAUCAUUCACAACGAACUGGCAAGCCUCUAAAUGUGAUGUUGAUGGUGACACAAUAAGCUCUUCAGGAGGUUCCUCUGUCACUUUCCCAUAUAGGUACCAGAGAAGAGACCAGGUAGCUGCCUCAUCAAGCAGAAGCUGGGCCUUCUGCCUCAUCAAUUUGUCCUCUACAACCCGAUGCCGUAUGUUGGGCCCAUACCUAAUAGACUCUGAAACAUUCCUGCAUGAUUUCUCAAACCUUAAAAUCAAAUCAGGAAUAGGCAUCAAUCCUUGGAUAGAAGAAUCAAGAAGAGAUGCAAAUAGACCAAAAAUUGUCUCUCCGGUAUCCGUCAAUGACUCAUCCUCAAUCUUGCAAGCUUUAAGUGAUUCACUUCCUAGCCAUCGUAUUGAAUCAACACCAAGAUCAACCUCUGAGAUGUCGUGACUAUCCAUGGACAAUCUCCUCUUAAAAGCAGAAUGAGUCCUUGCGGGUGUACCUUCAAAGUGAUCAGUGUCAACACUAUCAGCCUCUUGUUUGAUAUUCUCAAGAAGAAGAGCAGCAUUUGUCGGGCUGUGGAUACUCUGCCCCUCAUACAAUAGCCUGGAUUCCUUAAACUUGGACACUGAAGUGUCUUGAUGCGGUGAUACACUUGAAGUUGAAUGCCUUUUCCCGUAACGGCGAAACUGUUCUCUGGAAGUGAGAUCUUCGGGAUCGAAGUAGCUAGGAGAAGCCUCCAUUUCAACGUCCACUUUGUACCCCCAAAAGAUACCACUGGUGCGCUCCCAAAUUACAGUCCUGAGGAAAAACCCUAAAAUUUCAGUAAUCAGUUGGGUGGAGCUACAACCCCUUGCUCUAGAUGCUUGAGCGCGGGAAUGUGCAUGGAAAAAGGGUUUUGAAGUCGCUAAAACCCUACAGACUAGUGAGCGUCACACAUGGAAUGGAACUCAAUUUUGAGCCAGAAACAGAAACCAGCAACGCAGCCAGCCAACUCGGG
rnacentral:misc_RNA from 1 species